CCGAGCUGCCCCACCCACGGACCUUACGGAUCUUAACAGACUCCAGGCUCCGGGAAGCUCGGUCCCAGGGGUGGGUGUUCGGAGGACCGGUGCGUGCUGACCGACCAGCGUUCCCGACGCCCUGACGUGUUGAGACCCCGCCGUGUUGGUUCCGACCUUCCGCUCCGCCCAGACGUCUCUGCCUCGACCCGCGACGCCCUCGCAUCCGCGCCCGGGUAGGGUAUCGGGCGUGCGCGCCGGCCGCUGCCUCAUCGCGCGACCCCCGGAUGCUGGAUCGCAUCGACCCCCCUGGGUUUUCCAUCCGGUCGUUGCUUCGUCGAAAGAGGGAGGCCGUGAAAGAAGGAGGCGGUGAGACGUUUGUUAACUCGGAAAACGAGGCCGGGCCGCUCGACUCCACCUCGGUUCGUCGCCUGCCUAUGGAUCCCACCCUCUCAGCUGGGCUGCGGGCCUCGGCGGGAGGGGAUGCGACGGGUUCUGCGGUGACUCAAUGCGUCGGGGUCGGGUGCUGUCCGUGGGGGGCUCUCCCCUCUCAGAGACGGACAGGGCUGCGUGACAGGGGACGGCGGGGACAGGACGCAAAGCGAGCAGACGAACAGAUUGACGAAGAAAGGCGGGACGGGAAAUUCCCGAAGCGGAAACCUAAGGGUUCUCUGGAAAGUCGGUUGUGUCGGACGGUGUUCUGCUGGGGCGGACAGGCGAAGGAGUGUUUUCCCGAAGCGGACACGGGAGAGAGGAUGUCCUGCUAAAGCAGGCGCGCGAAAGGACGCACACUGAAGGAUUCUUUAUUGACCACGCGCGUGUAUCGGUCUGCCUCACACCGUGAUGUUGAGCUCCUUCUGUCAGGACCCCACAGAGAGAAACGCGGCAGAAGACUUCCGGCGGUGUGCGGUGGCUUCUGGCCGCUCCGUCGGACUCUGGCAGAGCGAUGUGGACCGACGCACACUCACAUGCAGUUUUGCUAGGACAGAUCCGUGUGCCGAGGCGGAGCACAUAGUGAGACAAGAUCUGUAUCUGUAGAGGACGCACGACGUUCGGAGGGAUUACGACUAGGACCCAACACACAAUGAGAUCUGAGACGGGCCUGCCGGUGGAGGUGGCUGCUCAACACUCCUCGGUCUCAAGUCUCCGCUUCUCCUGAGGUUUCUCACGGUCCAAACCCCUCCCGCUGACUCGCGCUGAUUCCGCAGAGGCCCGAGUGACCCAGUCGGGUCGAGCCACCUCUACUGCGGUCCGAGGUCACUGAACCGGACCGCCGACGUCACCGAACCGGACCACCGAUUUCCCGACGACAGAGAUGGGGUCUGCUCGGAAGAACCAUUUCUAAGCAGUGGGAGAAACAGGAGGCCCUGAGACUCCGUGGCCAGGAAGCAGAGCCUGCUUAAUGAGCCAAUGAUCUCUUCUGCCUUCAUGAGAGUGUGCACACGUGCACACACGCACCAUCAUCGAUGACGCUCUCGAAGUAUUUGAAGACGACUCUGAGAAAGGUCAGUGGAUUGAUUGGCUCAUCUACCAACUCUGAACAAUUUUCGCUAAAAGUGUAAAAUCUGAACUAAAAGCUCAGCAUACAAAUUAGACACAGGGAAACUGAGUUAGACCACGUUACAUACACAGCAUGGGAAUAAGCCAUUUAGAAUAGAAUUAGAAGGCUAAAUACAUCUCCAUCGGAAAAUGAGGGGAAUUGUGGAAAUGACAGAAGCAUAGAGAUUAAUGACUGGAACUUUACCACAAUUCUUACUUUUUAAUUAAAAAAGUACUCAACUCUCAGAUCCACAAAAACAAUCUUUUUCCUUCCUCUUUUCUAUAGAAAAAAAAAAAUCAAACGAUAUAUCCUGAUCACAGUUUCACCUCCUUCAGCUCCUCCCAAAACCUCCCCUGCCUCUCUACCCACACAGAUCCGUCCCAUUUCUUUCUCUCUAUCAUUAGGACACAACCAGACAAACAAACAAACACCAAAUUUCUUCUUCUUUUUUUUCUUUUUUCUUUUUUUCGGAGCUGGGGACCGAACCCAGGGCCUUGCGCUCGCUAGGCAAGCGCUCUACCGCUGAGCUAAAUCCCCAACCCCAAAUUUUUUCUUAAAUGGGGGAAAAGACAGAAGAAACACAGACACACACACACAUACACACACUCCAUAGAAACACAAAAUUAGAAACUGUAAUAUGCAAGCAAAAAGACCAGUAAAACAAACAAACAAAUAAAAGUACCCACCCAAUACUGUAUGAGACAAAAAGCCUAACGAAAUACAACUGGGUAUUUUUUUCCCCCUUGGUUAUCUAUUUUUAGGCACGAGGCUUGCCUAUUCUUAGUUGUGGUUUCUCAACUAGGCUGACAAUGACUCCAUAGACUAUCUGGUAAAAACCCCAACUCUAGGUGUGAGAAAAUCUUUUUGUGAGUUGUUCGUGGUGGUUGUCAUAACUCCACUUACUAAUUUCUGUUUCAUUUUCUCCAAACCAGACAUUUUUCCUUGUUUAUCUUUUCAAAAAAUCUUUUUAUUCUCCCACUUAAAGUAUCAGUAACUAUUAUUAAUGCAUUUAAAAAUACUUGAGUUAAUUUCUCAGAAACGGUCAGAAAUGCAAAUCUCCAACAGUACAAAGGAACCAAAUUCGAGAGACACUUUGCGUGAACUCGAAUUCUUAUAGACAUGUUCAUCACAAAUAACGUAGAAGAAAAAACUCAAAGUUGAUCAUCGUAAAGCUCUCCAGGAGUUUUUACAUCGAUGGUGUGAUCAACAAUACGUUUCUUCUGAAGCGACUAACAGCACUGCUAACCUUCCAAAGUGGAAUUUUUCUUCUGAAGCAACUAACAGCACUGCUAACCUUCCAAAGUGGAAGUUUCCGUAUUUCAAACGCACAGCGUUAAGAAUGAAAGAAGUGUCACUAAACUUAUAUUAUUCAUCUUAGUCGCACAUUAAAAAAGAGAUUUUUGGCAAGUACCGAUACAACUAUGUAGCAGGGAGAUAAAUGGAGAGCAAAUCGCGGAGUGAUUAAUCGCGCUGCAUACGAAAGUGAAAAGAAGAAACAGAGAUGCAGGGUUUGACGGGGAAAUUCUAAGCUCUCUGUACUUGGGACUAGUCAAAAGAAAGAAAGAAAGAAAGAAAGGAAGGAAGGAAGGAAGGAAGGAAGGAAGGAAGGAGGCAUAAUAGGGCUGAGAAGCUCAUGAAUAUGCUCCAGGUAAUCUGUAUGUGCACCGAAAUGCUUUUUAGUUUGGUUCAUUUAAGUCUGAAAUUCCCUUCCCCACUGAUGUCAGCCAAGAUUAUAGGGAAACAGAAAAGUGUAAUGAACAGAAGGGUAAGAUAAUUUUGGAAAACCAUCAGUGACAAUAAUCUUUAGCUGACCUCUUCUUUCACGGACUCCUCUCAUGCAUCUCUGACCGCCAGGUUUUUCAAGCGAAGCAAAGUAGCAACUUGGUAUAAACCACAUGGUAAGGCAGGAUUGGAAUGAUGCCCUGACAGGCAGGACAGGAGGGUGACAGAGACCCUGUUCACAGAUAUGAAUGAUUCCGUUUCAAAGGGAAAAUUAAGGUUCUAGAAAACAGAAAUCCUACUGCUUGGCGGCACUGCCUUAUGCACUGGUUGUAGGUAACUCAGAUAAACAACAGUGUCCGUGAGUGAGCCAUGGAAGUUGCCUGAAUUUCAAGAUGUGUUCUGAGGAAAGCAGGACAAUCAAAUCUUUGACAAGGGCAGAGGUCCUUUGUGGAGGCACGGCCCACUCGGCCUCGUGCUCCAAACGGUACAGGUAAAGAAGCACACACGUGUGGAAACAUUAGUUUGCUACUAACAAGAGUGUCUACAAAGAUGAAUCCAUAAUAAUCGGCCCAAGCUAUGUCUUCUGAAAACCUUGAAGGAAACAUAAAGAUCACUGGGGGUCUUAACAGGUAUUUCCAAAAUGAAGGCCAACUGAACAAACACUAUUAAGGAAAGCUGAACUAAUGCUAAAAAUAAAAGUACACACACUGGGUAUUGGGAGAAGUUUGUCCUUUAAGAGGGUUAAGGUGGUACAGAAAAAGAUUUAGCCCAAGGACAGACAGGCCAAGAAUUGCAUGGAGGACACCCGAGGAGGGGAGGAAACUGAAAAAAAAUCCUUUCACUUAAAAAAAAAAGAUGUGAUCUAUCUUCCUAGUGCCAGUUCUGGACAUUUUGUAAUCAGAAUAUUUAUCUUCUCUCUCCUCUCCUGCCCUGCCCUCUCUCCUCUUUUCUCUAUUCUUCUUCUCUUCCUCCUCUUCCUAUUGAUCCUCUUCUUCCUCUUUCCCCUUCUCCUUUAGCUAUGGUAUUUCUGCAUUAUAUAAUUCUGUCUACCUGGAAGCUCAUUAAGUCAAUUAGGCUGGCCUAGAUCUCUAGAUCUGCCUGCCUCUGCCUCCUGGGGUUCUGGAAUUAGAUAUCUGCCAAGUCAGAGCUUUUCUUAUUGAUGUUUCAAUUUUUUGUACACAUUUACAGAUCUUCCAGACCCCUCAGAGGAGCACAGGCACAGUGAUAACGAAGGGUCACAGGGGUGGGGGAUGGAGGACUUUUAUCCUGACUGACUGGCAGUCAGAGUGAUUAUUUAUACAGAACUCAUUAGGCAAGGAUUUAUCCAUGUUGUUCCGAGCCAUAGACCAUAUAAUUUUUGUCCCCAGACGUGUCUUUUAACUUCCUCUUGGUCAUAAGUUUAGACAUUAUUGAUAAACAGCGACACAACAGAGUUACCUUACACAGUCAUUUUUCCUCAUCGAGCCCACAACCCCCAAGAAUCUUGUGUUUUCAAGGGCACUAGACAGAAAGAAAAUCUCCAGGCCAGCCUGGGCAGAUUGCCAUGUCUUAAGCACUGUGUUAUCAAAUUCUAAUGGUCAGAAUGUUAAUUGUCAUCAGGACCAAGAAAGAUCUUCAGGCCAAGGCUGCUGCAGCUAUCAUUCAAUUUCUGCCAUAAUACAAUGUUUAUAUUUUAUAUCUCUGUAAAAUUUAUGUAUAUGUCUAAUUUUGGUAUCCUUUUGUUCCUAGAUCGUAUGACAUCACACUAGUCCUACACAAACUAACUUUUCUGAGAAAGGAAGGUCUUAACACUUCAUUCUUUUAUCGUGUAUCCACACCAUUCUUUGUCCAUCAAUUUGAGCCCCUGUGUAAGGCAGAGAUAACCCCAGCCAAUCUAACUUUGUCGCUGUGUCUUUUUGCAGAGGGGCGUGUCAUAUGCAGCCCUCUAUCUUACAUGCCACAUAAUUGCCUGAGUGUACAGUAAGAAGAGGUCUUUAACACGAUCUGCUGCCAAUUUCUCUACCCACCAAAUCUUGUUUUAAGUUGACUUUGUUCAGAUUAUCCUGUUCCUGAGGCAGAUGUUCCAUGAGUUAUCUUGUAGCUGGAGCCUCAUGUGUGAUUCCUUUAUUUGAGUCACCCUCGAGGGUGUAAGGUUAAUCUUCAAGGAGGGCCAAGCAAGGACAUCUCCCUGGAGGAUGGAGGGAUAGUGUGCUCAGGACUUUCUUGAGGAAGCUUAGAAGCAGCACUCCUGGGAAAGACAUAAAUGACUCCUAAAAUUUUCAUGAAUCCAAUAUCCCAAGUUGUACAGAUAUUAAAAGCCCCAUCCGUGCAUGCAGCGUAUUGGGAUCAAGACCGAAAGUAGAAGACUGUAAGACAUCUCCUGGCUCAGCCUCGCAGGUUUUUGUCAAGCAGCUGCACUGGCUUUAUGACAUUGAGUGUUCCCAUUAGAUACGGGUGUGCCAUAGAAGCCUAUAAAUUAUCUUGUCUUGGUUUAGUUUCUGCAGGUUACUUGCAUCUGAAAAUCUAUUCUUUCCUUUUAACCUCUUUUGGUUAAGUGAGGUGUAAGAUAAGGUAUAUUCUAAUACAUUCCCGAAUUUAAUUAGUAUCUUUGUUUCCCUCUUCACCUUCAAUUUUAUCAAUUUAUGUGUUGUCUCUUACUUUUGGUUAGUUUGGUUAGAUUUACGGGAAUGGUUUAUAUUUUCAAAGAAUAAAAUCUUUGUUUUACUGAUUUUUUUUCUAUUCCACGAAUUUCUGUACUACUAUUAACUAUUCCUCUUCAUCUUCUGAAGGUCAGGUCGGUCAACAUGGGAACCAUGACUGGGGGAGCAAGGACGAUUGUAGGAAAAGAAGAUGAAAGAGAUAGAGAAGAGAGGACUGCUGGUGAAGACCAUGCCAGAGAGAAAAUUAUUUUUCAGUGCCUUUUGAAGGCAAGUAACACAAAGCACGGCCAAUUUCUGGAAGAUAAACAAUGACCAUAAAUCCUUAUGUGGUGAAUUUAUGGUGAACAGUAUUUACAUUUGACUGAGGCCAUUUCCUUCAGGCUAGAACAAUCCUUCAAGGAUGUAUGGGCAAGAAGAGGAACUUGUCAGGGUAUAAAAGCAAUUCAUUUUCGAUUGGGUUGUCUGGUUUCUUGGUGGUUAUCUUCUUGAGUUCUUUCUAUAUUUUGGAUAUUGGCCCUCUAUUGAAUGUGGGGUUAAUGAAGACUUUUUCCCAAUCUGUGGUAUGCUGGUUUGUUCUACAGGCUACGUCCUUUGCCUUACAGAAGCUUUGCAGUUCCAUGAGGUCCCAUUUAUCAAUUCUUCAUCUAACAUGAGAACUCUCCAAUCAUUUUACGUUGGAGCUCAACGCUAUGCGUUUUCCUCUUAGCACUGCUUUCUCCGUGUCCCAUAAAUUUGGGUAUGUUGUGCCUUCAUUUUCAUUGAACUCUAGAAAAUCUUUGGUUUUUUUCUUUAUUUCUCCCUUAAUCCAGUGGUUAUCAAGUUCCAGGAAUUGUUCGGUUUCCAUGUGUUUGUAGGCCUUCUGUUAUUUCUGUUGUUGGAAGUCUAGCUUUAAGCCGUGGUGGUCUAAAAAGGUGCAGAGGGUUAUUUCAAUUUUCUUGUGUCUGUUGAUAUUUGUUCUGUGACUGAUGGUACGGUCAGUUUUAGAGAAGGUUCUAUGAGGGGCUGAGAAGGAGGUAUUCUUUUGUGUUAGGAUGAAAUGUUCUGUGGAUGUCUGCUAGGUCCAUUUGAGUCAUAAUAUCUGUUAGUUUCAUUAUUUCUUUGUUCACAUUUGGUCUGGAUGACCUGUCCACGGGUGAGAGUGGAGUGGUGAAGAUUCACUCUCCCUAUUGUUUGUAAAAUGCCCCAAAUCUUCGCAACCCACCAAAAAGGGAUUGUCCUCCUCCCCACCACCACAGUAAGUUGUGUCUCAUGUUCCCAUGUUCUAUCUCUUGUUCCCCCCUUCAUCCCCCCCCCCAAAAAAAAAACAAAGAGAAUUGUCAAAAAAGGCUUCCAGGCUUUGCCAUAACUGGGGUCCAUCAAGACGAGGCUGUCUAGGAACAGAAACAGUAUCUGGUGUAAAGUGGCAAUUUCUGUUUCCUUUGGAGACUUGGGUUAUAACGAUCUUUUGCUAGGGAAGACAGGUGAAAAACAUUUUGUUAAAGCAGACACGUGAAAGAAUGAUUUCCCAAAGCAGACCCAGGUGAGAGGAUGCUUUGCUACAGCAGACAAGUGAAAGGAUGCGCGAUGUCUACAAAGAAUAUAAACAUAACCCACAGACAGUGGGAACUGGAACAUUGGUUUGCCUUGCUCUGCCUUUCUAUGCUUUGCUGGUGACACACAUGUAUUGGUUUGCUUUAUAUUGCUUUGCUAAGCUUCACUCGUGGAGACUCUUUUCAAACAUCAUGUGUCCUCUCAAACGUCUGCCUCAGUAAAACAUCCUCUCGCAUCCGCUUUAGCAAAACAUCCUCUCAUCAGUCAGCUUCCAGAAAAAUAUCACACGACACAACCGAGUCUCCAAAGAAACCCAGGAAUUUCACUUCAAUAAUACAUGUUCGUUAUAGUUACAGUAAGUGACAAGAGGAUGGUGGAUUUUCCAUUCUUUUCCACAGUCGUCCCUAUUCUUAUGUCUAACAUGCAUUACGCUUGUAAGCAAAACGAAAUUUAAAGUUAUUUGCCAAUUAUUGAGAAAAACUUCUAAUUAGUUCCCAAGUGAUCUACUUUGCUGAAGCUUUAAUUAUCCUGUAUAAUUUAUUGAAGGCCGAAAGUUCUUCUAAUUGGUACCCUGUUGCCCAUGCAGUGAGGAUGGCUAUACCAUAAUGAAGUCCCUGAAGCCACUGAACAUUGAGUCCAGGGCUGGAUACUACAGGGCCUGAACACCUUGGAGAUCUUUUUCUGUUUCUGUGUUCUUAAGCUAUUUCCAAAAAGCAACAUAUGGUCAUCUCUUCUUGAAAAUUAUCCUCGAGAGAGCCCCUGAGAGCUUGCUUCAUCAACAUUUUGUCAAUAUUUCAUGAUGGCAUUUGUACUCUGUUUCUUCAAAUACUCACAUAUAGACACACAUGCUUAAACACGGAAAUAUAUGCGUGCGUGCAAGGCAUGCAUAUAGAAGACGUGUUUAGAAUAUAAUAAACAUUUGAAAAAUCAACCUGUAAUAAGUUAAGCCUAAGAAAUAAAAGGGACAGCAGGGGGCAUAAAUUUGAGGAAAGUGGAAAUUAAACGAAAAACCUAUUUUUCUGACACUCGAGAUAUUUCUUGGAAUGCUAAAAUUCAAAAUUCCAUUUAUCCCUUAGCAUCUGUGAGAGAUUGGUUCCAGGGCUUUCUUAGAAGCCUAAAUUCUCACAUUCACACCCUUUAUAUAAAAUGGCAUAUUAUUUGCAUAUAACCUGUCCUGCCAGCAGCACUGUAAAUGGUUUCUGGAAUAUUUUUAGUUUCUAACACAAUGUAAAGUUCACGCAAACAGUUGGUGUAUUAUUUAGAGAGUAAGGUUAGGAAUGUCUGUUUUCUUAUUUUAGUACAGUUUUUUUUUCAA